rnacentral:tRNA from 1 species
GGCCUCGUGGUGUACCGGUUGGCACUCUGGACUUCAAAUUCAGCGACUCGAGUUCAUGUCUCGGCUAGGUCU